AUGUCUCACCAAAUAGAGAAUACCAUAGAGGGAUAUAAGACCACAUAUGAGGUCACAGAACUAGCAUCGAAAAAUACAAGAUGCGAGCCCGGAGGAAGGAAAGAGGGUCUACCCGGAGCCGCGCAGCGAGAGCGAUGUCUGAGCAACAUCCGCGAGUUUCUGCGAGGCUGCGGGGCCUCCCUGCGCCUGGAGACAUUUGAUGCAAAUGAUUUGUACCAGGGGCAGAAUUUUAACAAGGUCCUCAGUUCCUUAGUGACUUUAAAUAAAGUAACAGCAGACAUUGGACUGGGAAGUGACUCUGUGUGUGCCCGGCCCUCAUCUCAUCGGAUAAAGUCUUUUGACUCCCUGGGAUCCCAGCCUUCCCAGUCGGACUUCAGAAUUAUUCCAGGGCCAGUAUCGAAGUUUGAAAAGCCCGUGUCUCCCAAAUCUGGAACUUUGAAGAGCCCUCCCAAAGGAUUUGAUACAACUGCCAUUAACAAAAGCUAUUAUAAUGUGGUGCUACAGAAUAUUUUGGAAACAGAAAAUGAAUACUCUAAAGAACUUCAGACUGUGCUUUCAACCUAUCUACGGCCAUUGCAGACCAGUGAGAAGUUAAGUUCAGCAAACACUUCAUAUUUAAUGGGAAAUCUAGAAGAAAUAUGUUCUUUCCAGCAAAUGCUUGUACAGUCUUUAGAAGAAUGCACCAAGUUGCCUGAAGCUCAGCAGAGAGUUGGAGGCUGCUUUUUAAAUCUGAUGCCACAAAUGAAAACCUUGUACCUUUCAUAUUGUGCCAAUCACCCAUCUGCCGUGAAUGUUCUCACAGAGCACAGUGAGGAGUUGGGAGAGUUCAUGGAGAUGAAAGGUGCCAACAGUCCGGGGAUUCUCGUGUUGACCACUGGCCUCAGCAAACCAUUCAUGCGCCUGGAUAAGUCCCCCACUCUGCUCAAGGAGCUCGAGAGACACAUGGAGGAUUAUCAUCCAGAUAGACAAGAUAUUCAAAAAUCCAUGACUGCCUUCAAAAACCUUUCAGCCCAGUGUCAAGACGCACAGAAAAGGAAAGAGCUGGAGUUGCAGAUCCUGACGGAAGCCAUCCGCAGCUGGGAGAUGACAUUAAGGCUCUGGGCAAUGUCAUUUACAUGUCCCAGGUCAUGAUGCAGUGUGCUAGAAGUGAGGAAAAGAAUGAAAGAUAUCUUCUACUCUUCCCAAAUAUUUUGCUAAUGUUGUCUGCAGUCCCAGAUGAGUGGUUUUAUCUAUCAGGGAAAGCUACCAACGACAGGAAUGACAAUCACAAAGCUUGAGGACAGUGAAAAUCAUAGAAAUGCAUUUGAAAUAUCAGGGAGCAUGAUUGAGCGGAUAUUAGUAUCAUGCAACAACCAGCAGGAUCUCCAUGAAUGGGUGGACCAUCUACAGAAGCAAACGAAAGUCACAUCUGUCAGCAAUCCCCCCAUUAAGCCUCAUUCUGUGCCGUCUCAUACCCUCCCCACCCAUCCGAUCACCCCAUCCAGCAAGCAUGCAGACAGCAAGUCGUGCCUCUGACGCCUGCCUACCACACACUGCCCCAUCCCUCCCACCACGGCACCCCACACACGACCAUCAACUGGGGGCCCCUGGAGCCUCCGAAGACACCGAAGCCAUGGAGUCUGAGCUGUCUGCGACCCACACCUCCCCUCCGGCCCUCAGCUGCUCUCUGCUAUAAGGAGGAUCUUAGUAAGAGUCCCAAGACCAUGAAAAAGUUGCUACCUAAGCGUAAACCAGAGCGGAAGCCUUCGGACGAAGAGUUUGCGCUGAGGAAAAGCACAGCUGCUUUGGAAGAAGACGCACAGAUUCUGAAAGUCAUCGAAGCUUAUUGCACAAGCGCCAAAACACGGCAAACACUUAACUCAAGUUCACGUAAAGAAUCUGCUCCACAAGUUUUGCUUCCAGAAGAAGAAAAAAUUAUAAUUGAAGAAACAAAAAGCAAUGGUCAGACAGUGAUAGAAGAAAAGAGUCUUGUUGAUACCGUCUAUGCAUUGAAGGAUGAAGUCCAAGAAUUAAGACAGGAUAACAAGAAGAUGAAGAAAUCUCUGGAGGAAGAACAGCGAGCCCGCAAAGACUUGGAAAAGCUAGUGAGGAAAGUUUUAAAGAACAUGAACGACCCUUCCUGGGACGAAACCAACCUCUAAGGAACGUCCAUGGUUCUUUCUUGAAGACCAGUUAGGAGACUAAGCUGGGACCCUGGGGCAGGGCUGUGCAUAC